CAGGGCUCAUAUCCUUCUGGAGGCAGACAACAUGGUAAACCAGGUUCAUCUUCCUCAGGAGGCAGUCAUCAAGGAAAACCAGGCUUCUCUUCCUCAGGAAGCACUUAUUCUGGGAAACCGAAUUCAUCUUCCUCAGGUGGCAGUCAAGUGAGCUCUGCUGGGAAACACUCCACUCCCCCAAUCCUGCUGCUAUUCAGUGUUUUGAGUGCCUUUGCUCUCUCUGCUGCUACAUCAAAAUGGUCUAUAUGAACUUCUGAAGAGUCGCUUGGCACCCUAGACAUGGA